GAACGGCAGCACAGGUAGCUAUACCGGGUGGCGAGUGGCGGACGGGUGAGGAAUACACCGGGACCUGCCCAGACGUGGGGGAUAACGUAGGGAAACUUACGCUAAUACCGCAUACGUCCUACGGGAGAAAGCGGGGGAUCGCAAGACCUCGCGCGGUUGGAUGGACCGAUGUUCGAUUAGCUAGUUGGUAGGGUAAUGGCCUACCAAGGCGACGAUCGAUAGCUGGUCUGAGAGGAUGAUCAGCCACACUGGGACUGAGACACGGCCCAUACUCCUACGGGAGGCAGCAGUGGGGAAUAUUGGACAAUGGGCGCAAGCCUGAUCCAGCAAUGCCGCGUGUGUGAAGAAGGCCUCCGGGUUGUAAAGCACUUUUAUCAGGAGCGAAAUACUACCGGCUAAUACCCGGUGGGGCUGACGGUACCUGAGGAAUAAGCACCGGCUAACUUCGUGCCAGCAGCCGCGGUAAU
rnacentral:rRNA from 1 species